rnacentral:rRNA from 1 species
UACGCAGGGUGCAAGCGUUGUCCGGAAUUAUUGGGCGUAAAGAGCUCGUAGGCGGUUUGUUGCGUCGGCUGUGAAAUCCUGAGGCUCAACCUCGGGUCUGCAGUCGAUACGAGCAAACUAGAGUGUUGCAGGGGAGACUGGAAUUCCUGGUGUAGCGGUGAAAUGCGCAGAUAUCAGGAGGAACACCGGUGGCGAAGGCGGGUCUCUGGGCAACAACUGACGCUGAGGAGCGAAAGCGUGGGGAGCGAACAGG